GAUGAACGCUGGCGGCGUGCCUAAUACAUGCAAGUCGAGCGAACGGACGAGAAGCUUGCUUCUCUGGUGUUAGCGGCGGACGGGUGAGUAACACGUGGAUAACCUACCUAUAAGACUGGGAUAACUUCGGGAAACCGGAGCUAAUACCGGAUAAUAUUUUGAACCGCAUGGUUCAAAAGUGAAAGACGGUCUUGCUGUCACUUAUAGAUGGAUCCGCGCUGCAUUAGCUAGUUGGUAAGGUAACGGCUUACCAAGGCAACGAUGCAUAGCCGACCUGAGAGGGGGAUCGGCCACACUGGAACUGAGACACGGUCCAGACUCCUACGGGAGGCAGCAGUAGGGAAUCUUCCGCAAUGGGCGAAAGCCUGACGGAGCAACGCCGCGUGAGUGAUGAAGGUCUUCGGAUCGUAAAACUCUGUUAUUAGGGAAGAACAUAUGUGUAAGUAACUGUGCACAUCUUGACGGUACCUAAUCAGAAAGCCACGGCUAACUACG
rnacentral:rRNA from 1 species